GCAGUGGCACCAAACGGCAUAUUACAGUUUUGGUCAACAAGUGAAAAAAAAACAACAACAAAAAACAUGGUGUAUAAACAGUGGCCUAUAGCUCACGGCAUUACAAGACAAACUGGUCUUUUUUGUAGCAAUCAGCCUAUUUUUCUUCAGUCAAUCAAUGUUGAUUGAAUGAUGAUAGAUUAAUUGUGAUAGUCAUUGGUCUAGCUCUAACCUACAUGCAAUCGGGAGCACACGCGCAAACAUCAAUUCAUUGACAUCGUGUCGCUUCAAUUUCUUGAACGCCAUUUAUUAGAACAACAUAUAUACAAGGAAAAAGAAAUUGUGGUGUUGGCUGAAUAGCGCAAUACAAAGACAUAAAUCGGCUUUCAGAGGAUGGUCAGCUAGAUCUGCAUGCAGACCUCAUGAAGUCCACACCCAUCCAUCCAGCGCAGUCAUUGUUUCCAUUUCUUCGCCCGAUCCCAGAAGAAAAUAAAGAGCAAGGGAUAGGAAUAAAAAUGAUCUCCACUCACCAUAUUUUGGGUCCGGGUUUUUCUCCUCCAUCUCCAUUCUUACACACGGCACUCUUUAGAUUAUCAAAGCAGACAGGACAGUUACCAUGGAAAUGUCGAGGGGAAAAAAACACCAAUAACAGAGACAGGCGCUACCGCUACAAAGCGGAGUGAGAGGGACCAUCCCAGCGAAAGCCCUCUGCAGUCAGGAACAGCCCUCGGAAUAAGACAACCAAUUAGCAUGCGCUAUUUAUUUGAGUGACAGCUCUGUUAUCCAAUCAGAAUGAUUUCUAUGUGACUGAAAAAUUCACACCGCUACUUCAGAGGAAUUUGCUUACUUUUUAUUCAAACGUAAUAAUUAGUAGACGACUGGCUUUGAUUAAGUUUUAUUUUUUGCGUAAUGUGCGGUAGAUUAUUAAGGACCCACCUUUGUGCAGGCUCAUCUGCAUUCUGCACAGAUUAGGCAAAACUAUUUUUUUGUGGAAAAAUACUACCACUUAUAACUUUUAACUAUCAGCAGUGAUAUGACCAGUUAUCAGCUGUAAACAAAGUGCUGUGUGUUGUGGUCUGACCCCUCCGAAUUACCUCCUCCCAGCCUCGAAAUUAGACCAUGGAAGUAAGACCCUGGCUGAGUGACACUGUAGUGAGAGGGAGAAAUACUUCUGUACGUGGUUUCUUAUUUUAAAAGCCAAUCAGCUGCAGGCUGGGAGCCCACACCCUCCAACAUGACUCGGUCACAUGGAGCUGUGCAAAAAUCUUAUAUUGUAUGUAUGUGUACUACUAUAUGCUACAUGGGUGGUAGGGUACAACUAAAUAAUACGAAACUAUUUUACCAUUUAGCUUGAACUUGAUCAAGGACAGUUGUAUAACUUACAAGUAUUGCUCAACUCGAAAAGUACAGCUCGUGUUGCUUCUGCCGCUGUCCUCCAGCAGAACCAGCCUCAGUAAUGUUACGUAUCCGUGUGACGUUACACGGGGCUGGAGUUACUUAAGCAAUGUUCACAAGGUUUUUCCAAUCGUUUGGACCAAUCUUUAAAACGUCCACUUCGGGAUCAAGACCACCAGCUAAAUGGCCCUUAGAAAUGCUGCCUUUCGCCUCGUGGCCAAUUCUCAAAAAUGUGCAACAGUUUUAACAUCCAGAGCACAAGGCACAGCUUCAGCGCAACAUAAAGAUGCUGAAGAAAUCCCAAAGCCAUCCUCAAAACCAGCCAAGGUGACUUUUGACUGGCGGGAUGCUUUGAAUUUGGAGGGCCAGCUGACAGAGGAGGAAGUUAUGAUCAGAGAUUCUUUCAGGGACUAUUGUCAAGAAAAACUCAUGCCUCGUAUCCUGAUGGCUAACAGACAUGAACAUUUUCACCGUGAAAUUGUUUCUGAAAUGGGAGAGCUGGGAGUUUUGGGACCAACUAUUAAAGGGUAUGGCUGUGCAGGUACCAGUUAUGUAGCCUAUGGUUUAAUUGCCCGAGAGGUGGAGAGAGUAGACAGUGGAUAUCGGUCAGUUAUGAGUGUUCAGUCUUCACUGGUCAUGCAUCCAAUCAAUGCAUAUGGUACAGAGGCUCAAAAGGAAAAGUACCUGCCCAGGCUGGCCCGGGGAGAAAUCUUGGGCUGUUUUGGUUUAACUGAACCGAACCAUGGCAGUGAUCCCAGCAGUAUGGAGACCAAAGCUAAAUACAACCCCUCAAGCGGCACUUUCAGCAUCAGUGGAGCAAAAACAUGGAUCACAAAUUCCCCAGUAGCAGACAUUGCUGUUGUCUGGGCUAAAUGUGAAGACAGCAAGGUGAGGGGUUUCAUUUUGGAGCGUGGGAUGAAAGGGCUCAGCACUCCGAAAAUUGAAGGAAAAUUUUCUCUGAGAGCCUCUGCGACUGGCAUGAUCCUGAUGGAUGAGGUGGAGGUCCCUCAGGAGAACCUGUUGCCCAAUGUGUCUGGACUGGCAGGUCCUUUUGGCUGCCUCAACAAUGCUCGCUAUGGCAUUGCGUGGGGAGCUCUGGGAGCGGCAGAGUUUUGUUUCCACGCUGCAAGACAGUAUACCCUGGACAGAAUCCAGUUUGGUGUGCCUUUAGCCAGGAAUCAGCUCAUGCAGAAGAAGAUGGCUGACAUGUUGACUGAAAUCACAAUUGGAUUACAAUCAUGCCUGACUCUGGGACGACUGAUUGAUGACAAAAAAGCAGCCCCUGAAAUGAUCUCUAUGCUGAAGAGGAAUAGUUGUGGCAAAGCUCUGGACAUUGCACGGCAGGCCCGGGACAUGUUGGGAGGAAAUGGGAUUGCGGACGAGUACCACAUCAUCCGUCAUGUUAUGAACUUGGAGGCUGUAAACACGUAUGAAGGAACCCAUGACAUACAUGCACUGAUUUUGGGCAGAGCUAUCACUGGACUUCAGUCAUUUACUGUUGGAAAGUAAACUUUGAUAUUUUUUUAAGGGCCUGAUUUAGGUAGAAACACCUGACAACCUUAUCCAAACAACAAUGGAUUAAAAAGUUUCAUCCUGGAGACUGUGGGACUAUGGACAGCUUCAACUACACAGAUCAAGGUGGACGGUCAUUUCAGUAUUUAGUCCAGAACAUGGAGCCCCUCUAUAAGGAAUACAAGCCUCCUCCCAGAGACCUGAUCCAGCUGCCCAAGUCUGUGCUGUACCUCCUGAUGGCUGCUCUGGUGGUGGUCGCUGUGGCUUAUGCCAUCGUGGGUCAUCUCAUCAAAGACCUCAUGCUGGAUAUAACAGAUUGUUUGUUAGGACCGUUAGAGGAAGACUUGAAGAAGGAUGGAGAGGCAGAGGGACUGAGUCCUCUGCACAUCCCAGCCUCAGUGAGCCACUCGCACCAAAACGCCUUCCAUGUGUGGGACCAGGACGAUGUCAUCAUCCCCAUGACACCACAUGAUGAGAGCCCCGCUCACAGCCCUAUGAUGGCCGUGAUCCCUUACAUUCCUUCCUUCUUCCCCCAUGCACUUCACCACAUCGGCAGCCCAAUGCACAUCAGAGAGUACCUGAGCCCCAAGGAGAGUGAAGCAUGAAAGGAUUAUGGAAAACUAAGGAGACAUUGCAUCCAAAGAACAUGCAACAAGUAGUAAAAAGCAAGGGGUGCACAAGUUUUAAAGACUUGCAUUGAUUUAUCAUCUUAGGGCAAAUGUCCCAAGACACCGCAUCUGGUUCUGGUUGAUUAACGGUCAAACUCCAACUGAUAUCCCGCUGAUGAAAGGAGAGUCCAUGAUGUUACGUUUUGCCAGCCUACUUUUAAAGUCGGGCUUAAAACUACUUUUCUAUUCCCAAAAGAAGUCAAGCCUAAAAUGAAAAGUUUUAUAUGUGGUUUAUAUGUGUUUUUGUACCUGCAAAGGAGGCAAAGGAUAGUUAAAAAAUGAUUGAGACAGGAGAUGAUACAGUAUGUAUAGGAUCAAAUAAUGCUCAGAUUUGAAAUACAUGCAAAUAAUUGCAGAAUAAUUAUUUUAUUUUCACUACCUGCUUUGACAUGUGAGAGAUGACCCUUGUGGGGACAGCCUCUCUUUUUAAAGCUUCCUGUGGGGUUGUGCCAAGUUAAUGUAGCAUCAAGAUCACCCUCCACAUCUCAGCCAACUUGUGUCCCUGGGCAAGCCUAAGAAGAUUUAACAGUGAUACAAUUGUUUCACUACUUCAUCUCUGAAUGAAAAUAAUUUGUGAUUGUAUUUGAAGGAGCAUGGAGGUGAAGUGAAUAGACUCAAGCUGAACCAGGACUAUUUCUUGUACAUUUAUUUUUUCCAUUGAAAUUUGUCUAAAUAUGUUCCCACUUAACCCUGAACUGAGCUUC